rnacentral:rRNA from 1 species
GGAUCAUUAUAGAGGGCUACGGCUCCCUGUUUGAUAUUACCAAAUUGAUAUUUUCUUCUCUGUUGCUUCCACCUUCUAUGACCCUGUUAUAGAUAGUGGGAGGUUYUUUCAAUACUAUUUUUCUUGCUGAGACUUUUGAAUUGUCUGAAUAUAUGAGGGAAAAUGCUAUAAAACUUUCAACAACGGAUCUCUUGGCUCCUGCAUCGAUGAAGAACGCAGCGAAAUGCGAUAAUUAAUGUGAAUUGCAGAAUUCCGUGAAUCAUCGAGUCUUUGAACGCACAUUGCGCCUCAUSGCAUUUCCGUGAGGCAUGCCCAUCUCAGCGUUAGAAAAUAUUCUCAAAUUUUAGUYUUGUGCUAAAAUUUGGAUCAUGUCAAGGAAGCUAUUACUAUUAUUGUGAUCGCUCUUUGGAAAUUAAUAGGUCUUUGAGUUACUACUCAUAGAACGUGAUGAAUCUUUCUUCGUUCUAUUGUAGUUCACUCUGGUAGUCCUAAAACUUGUAUGCCUGUA